rnacentral:rRNA from 1 species
UGGGGAAUUUUGGACAAUGGGCGCAAGCCUGAUCCAGCCAUGCCGCGUGCAGGAUGAAGGCCCUCGGGUUGUAAACUGCUUUUGUACGGAACGAAAAGCCUCUUUCUAAUAAAGAGGGGUGAUGACGGUACCAUAAGAAUAAGCACCGGCUAACUACGUGCCAGCAGCCGCGGUAAUACGUAGGGUGCGAGCGUUAAUCGGAAUUACUGGGCGUAAAGCGUGCGCAGGCGGUCUUGCAAGACAGUGGUGAAAUCCCCGGGCUCAACCUGGGAACUGCCAUUGUGACUGCAAGGCUGGAGUACGGCAGAGGGGGAUGGAAUUCCGCGUGUAGCAGUGAAAUGCGUAGAUAUGCGGAGGAACACCGAUGGCGAAGGCAGUCCCCUGGGCCUGUACUGACGCUCAUGCACGAAAGCGUGGGGAGCAAACA